rnacentral:rRNA from 1 species
GACCUCAAAUCAGGUAGGGCUACCCGCUGAACUUAAGCAUAUCAAUAAGCGGAGGAAAAGAAACUAACAAGGAUUCCCCUAGUAGCGGCGAGCGAACCGGGAUGAGCUCAAAUUUGAAAUCUGGCUCCCUCCGGGUGUCCGAGUUGUAAUCUACAGAAGCGUUUUCCGUGCCGGACCGUGUCCAAGUCCCUUGGAACAGGGUAUCAAAGAGGGUGACAAUCCCGUACUUAACACGACGACCGGUGCUCUGUGACACGCUCUCUACGAGUCGAGUUGUUUGGGAAUGCAGCUCAAAAUGGGUGGUAAAUUCCAUCUAAAGCUAAAUAUUGGCAAAAGACCGAUAGCGAACAGUACCGUGAGGGAAAGAUGAAAAGCAC